CGUUAUUUUUUCCUUCAAAUUUCUCAACUUCAAUUUCAAGUUGUCCCUGCUUUAAUUUGUACUACUCUGAGGAGUUUUUCUCUGUUCUGGCCUUGAUUUAAUGCACUGGAUUGUAGCUAGUGGUUUUCUGCAGUUGAGUAUAACUCAACUCUUUUAGCACAGGCAUGUCCAAAAUCAUUUAACAGAUGAAUCAAAUGGGGAAAUAAAAUGCCUAAAUUAACUUAUUUUUCCCUUGCUUUCCUCUUUCUGCCGUUAGCAUUAUCUUGAAGCUUGAAUUUUUGUUCAUUCUUGAUGUAUUCCUUUCACCUGCAGGGUAAUUUUCCAGUUUUGGGGAUAAGCAAGGCGUAGUAACUUGUACCUAGAGCAAAAACAUUACAACUUCAGAUAGGUUUAUGGACAGUUAGAUGGGAUUGAAGUGCUUCUUCGGAGAAUUUACUCUGAUAGACGAUCUGCAAUUUACAUCCUGGUGGUGUUAAAGUGUCUUCAGUGAUCAGAAUUGUUUUUGAUCUGGCGUUUUCCUCGAGUCCUACAAUAGAGCUCUCAUCAGGAAUCUAAGAGGUUUUUGGAAGUGAAAGUUGUUCGAGAUAGGAAGAAAAGUACAUUGCCUCGACUGUAAGAGGUAAUUUAGGCACUUUUUUGUUCUAAUUCUAUGCUACGUUAUAGUGAUAAAUGAUUGUUCUCUAUAUUUCAUGUUAUACGGUAUAGAUGUGUGUACUUUAGCAAUUAGUUAAAUGUUAAGAUUAUCAAAUUUUGAUUUUCAUAAAUAAACUCCCUGAAAUGCUUGUGAAACACGUGCCUAACAAUAAAAGCAAGAGAUUGAACUACAAGAGUAGACAUUACACAUUUUCUUAUCUUACUGUUUGAGAUUGAUAUAUUAAAGGAUAACUUAUAGAUGAAAACAAUGUAAAUGAUUGAACUAAUUGAAUUUUAUCAAUAGUGGGAGUUGUAUGAUGGUUGUCUAAAAAAAGCAAGAAGAAAGAUUGUUUGGAUAUCUUGGGAAGUUAAAAAGUGUAACAAAUUUUUCUUCUAUGUGAACAUUUUUCUUUUAUGCUUGGUUAGGAACAAGUUCAUGAGGAUUGAAUAUUUGUGAUCAUGUCCAUAUCCUUAUUGCUUGGACUUUAAAUAUUCUACGUGAAAACAUAUAAAGUUACGUCCAGGGGAAAUACUUUAGUGGUGUUAGUACGGGCUGGUAAUGAAUGAAGUAUAAAUCCAUUGCGCUCCACAUGUAACAUGUCAAUCAUGUUAUAACGUAAAUAUCAAACUACAUUCAACUUCCUAUUAAGUCUUCUCAUUUUUAAUUUAAUUGUUUGCAAGAGAAUUAUUUGAAAGGAGAUGAAGAAAUUUAAAUCGUAACCAGAUUAUUGUUGCAGCAAGUGAUUGAGUCAAAAGGAAAAUACAAGCUCCGUGUAAUAUUCCUCCUUUUUAUCUUUCAGGUUCUAAUACCUUUCUCUAGGAGUCUAUCUCAUGGAGGAUGAGAUUAUUUGCAUCUCUUGAUGGCUGGUCAAGUAAUAAUAAUGUUCUGAAGAUGCCCGAUAAUUGGCUACUCUUUGGUCUAGAACCUUUCUGGUAGUGUUACCAUAAACUUACUCUCUUUAAGAAGAGAUGUGAAAGCUUCUUUUGGUUUGACAUUUCUAUGUUACAGUAUUUGAGACCGAGUGAAAAUCUAAAAGAAAAAGAAAGGGGGUACAUAGUUAGCUUGGUUAAGGCGCCUCUUAAUGCUCGAACAAUAUUCUGGUGAAUGCAUUAUUGUAGACACAAAAAAUGAUUUAUUUAUUGACAAAAAGUUUAGAGAAUGCUAGUAUGCAGUUGGACAACGAAUGUUGGAACUCCCCUGCAUGGAAAAAGCUAUGAAAAAUUCUUUUGCAAUUUAUUAUCUGUACUAUUUUACUUUUAACUUAAGUAUAAUUGGUAAAUAUAAAAUCUGUUUUGAGCCUUGCACUUAUAUUAUAUGAAUCAAAAUGCUAAUCAAAUCUUACCUUUGAUGUCAA